GCGUAUACAAAGUACCGCUUUUGAGUGGUUUCGAAAGACGAUAUUUUACAAACAAUACUGCCAGUGCAAUAUCUGAUCACAAACACAUUGCGAGUUCACAUCUCGUUUAGUCGUUUCGUGUUGUGUUGGAUUCUUUUUAAAAUUAAAUUAUAUCAGAAGCAACCCUUUUCGUGGAAAUAAACUUUAUGAAAGGUAAUAUUUUUAAGGGGGAUUUUACAUAUCCCACUUCCUUUGAGACUUAAAGGGAAUUAGAGCCGCCAUAAUUUUAUUUAAUUUUCCUGGGAAUCCCUUUCAUGUGUUAAUUUCGGGUUGGUCUGAUCGGGCCUUAAAAACGGAGGCCGAUAAUGAAUCAUCUCGGUGUGUUCCCAACGGUGCGAUAAAAUAAAAAUAUGCCUCUGCGGAUGAUAUAUUUUCGGCAGGAUGGAUUGGAAUUUUUAUAUAAAUAUCGUGACAGUUAGGAAAUUGUCUCCUGGAAAGUAGCCGUUUUGAAAAUUUAUAGCGUUCAAGUUCCAUCUUGGUGACAAGGAGAACUACUUCCAUAUAUACUCAAUUAAGUUAAGCGACGCUUUCUACAAUUUAUAGGAUCCAGCUCGAUGGUAAUUGAAAUAGUGGAAGGAAUAUAGGUUCUGACGAGCUUGUAAAUGUUGAGACCGUUACCAGAUUGAAGCCAGAUUCUUUUCGUAAUAGAAUCGUGCAACCGUGUUUUAAUGUAUGCGUCGUAGUUCGAGUCCAUGUUGCAAAACAAAUGUUGACAUAUGUAUCAGCAAAAUGAAUAAUAGAGCUCGAAUGUGGUUUAAUUUAGGGAAAGAUUUCCAGCCACUGGUUAUUUUGUAUGAGGGGUAAUUUAAUUUUCUCCAGAAUGUUGUUCUGCGCACCACACGUGUAAACACAGUUCAGACUUCUGUAAUCAAUUAUGUAGUUUACAAUUCACGAAAAAAAUGUAUGUGGGGUUUGUUUUAGAUAAUACAUAACGGUCUUCUCCAAAUAGGACACGUCAAAGAAGAUUUAACAACAACGUUGAUUACAAUAAUGGGUAUUGUCAUAUUUUGUGUGCACAUUAUCAGUUAUUCAGGUGAAAGUCGCACUCUAUCAAUGUUUAUUUGUCGUCUAAAUCACAUUUAUCUUACUAAAUAUA